AACACCUGAUCCCUUAUUAAACACCUGAUCCCUUAUUAAACACCUGAUCCCUAAUAUUAUUAAACACCUGAGGUAGUGGGAACUCUAAACACUUUAAACACUUUAACUCUAAAUAUGAUCAUGUUGCUAGAUAGCCAUGUAGACUACUUGAUUAGUCUAUCAGUUAAUAUAUUUUCCAACAAAAACAUUGCAGCGCUAGGCCUAAACAGGCUACUUGAUAUAGGCCUAUUCACCGCAAAUGGUGCGCCCCACGGUCUCUUCAAAACCAUAUACUACACAGUCUACUCCGGUUGUAAAGGGGUGCCGUGCAUUCAAUAUUAAGUGGUAAUAAAUUAUAUACAGAAAGCUGACGAUCCUCUCUGUACCUAGAACAACAGUAGCUGCUUUGAAAACUGUAUUUUUCCCGCAAAUUGCAUUCUGAGCAACAGCCAUGUGGCUGCGCUUAUUAGAAUGCACCUCUCUCUCCUCUGGGCGCACAGUGGGGAAAGGGAGUGGCUCGCUCACACAGCAGCUGACAGCGAAACAGGUUCAGGCAGAUACUUUCAAAUGGUUUAAUUUUGGUGAAUCACACAUUACUUUUUCAAACAGAUCAUCAUCAUCAUCAUCAUCAUAAAAAGAUCAUUGUGAUCCAACAUUGUUAUGGUAGCCUAGCAACCAAUUAUAAAUUGAUGUGGCACUGCCAACUCCAGCUUGGCAGUGCCACACCUGCACCACACUGCCACACCUGCACCACACUGCCACACCUGCACCACACUGCCAAACAAAGGGUUGCAAAUGCAAGGGUUUGGUUGAGCCCUGGAUGUAUUAAUGUGUUCUCCCCAGAGACCUGGAUGUAUUAAUGUGUUCUCCCCAGAGACCUGGAUGUAUUAAUGUGUUCUCCCCAUAGACCUGGAUGUAUUAAUGUGUUCUCUCCAGAUACUUUGUAUUUGUAUCUAUUAUGGAUCCCUCGAUAUGGGCUGCCAGUGAAUUUCCAAAACCGUUCUGCUGCAGCCCAAAAAUAACAUGAGAAAACUGUGAGGUCUGAAUUGUACAAGCACCUGGACAGCAGUGCUUCUAAUAUUGAUGCCACUAUGGACAUCCCAGGGUUGAACCUGAGCCAGCAGGACUACUACCCUCAUGUUAACUACAAGAUAGACUGCAACCUGCUAGACUUCAAGUAGAAACCACAAUGUCACUUCCUGUUUCCUGUGACAUCAUCUCCCGCAUGGAACGCCUCGCCUCCCCUGUCCCACCCCACUGUGUUUUAAUGUGAAACGCUCAGACAACUCCAGCUUUAAUUUACUGGUCCUCUAAAGCUCUCUCUCACACCUGCACCUGCACCUCUUUUUGUCUUCAUUAAUGUGUUUGUCUUACUUCCCCUUUACCGUCACCUGUUCUUUUACAUUGGGUGGAAGUGAAUGACGCCUUCUCGUAGACACUCAUGUUCUCUCCGAGAGAACAUUCACAAUUGAAUUUUCAAGUGUUUUGGAAAUUCAAUUAACAUUGCUUUUCAUUCCCAUCAUCUUAGCUUUUUUCAGAGAGAGAAACACCAAAGUUUUUUUUUAAAUGUUCAGGGGACAGAAAGCUAUAUGUUCCUAUAUUUAUAUAGAAUGGAUCCUUAGAAAUGAUUAAAAAAAAAGUUGUUUUCCUCUCCA